ACCNGAGUACUAUGAAUAUGAAAAAUUUAAAACUCAAAGAACUUGGCGGUGUUNUUAGACCACUUAGGGGAACCUGUCUCAUAAUCGAUAAUCCACGUUAUACCUGACCUUUUUUUGUUAUCAGUUUGUAUACCGUUGUCGUCAGGUAACUUUUUAGAAUUUAGAAGUUAGCAAUUAAGAAAAAUAAAAAUAAUCCGUUACGUCAAAUCAAGGUGCAGCUAAUAGAAAGGGGAGGAUGGGUUACAAUUAUAUAAAUCAUAAUAACGGAUAGGGGCAUGAAAUUUAUGUCAGCUGUAAGGUGGACUUAAAAGUAAAUUAAAUUACAUAAGCAAUUUGAAUAAGGCUCUGAAACGCGU
rnacentral:rRNA from 1 species